CAUUAUUAUUUUUUAUUUUCAAGAUCACAGUAACAGUUCAUGGCUAUGGAAAAAUCAUAACCAGACAUCACGCCUAGCUGCUUAAGAAGUAUCUCCGAUAAUGGACAUGUUAAGACAUUAUCAGCAAAAAUGAAAAGAGUGACUUACCAUUGAUUAUUGCCUGCAGGGAUGACACAAAAUUCCGCAGGCUGCCAGAAUUCGCUGGACUGGUCGCCUUAUGAGAUUGUGGACUUGAAAUGAAUCGAAAGCCAGGGGCGUGUCGGAAGGAGGAUGGAACGGGCUAAGCGGCACUAUUUCAAGUGUGCUGAGGGAAGCAACAAGCAAGAAGAGGAUGUCUGAUGUUUUAUGUGAGCUGAUGGUGAGUUCGCCGAGGUAUGGACGUUGAUAUAGUGAUGGAAUUCAUCGUUGUGAUGACCUGUACCGAUGCCGGAGGCAGAAACAAACAAGAUCUGCAGAUAGGCUAGCUAGGCGGCAUUAUGGAGGCCAAUCGACUGUGUCAAACGCCAAUUAGGCUAAUGGAUUUGUUUAUUGCAGUUGUGGAAGCUGGAGCCUUUGGAUCCUCAGCGAGGCUCGAAGUAUGCUAAAUAU
rnacentral:lncRNA from 1 species